rnacentral:rRNA from 1 species
UACGUAGGGCGCAAGCGUUGUCCGGAAUUAUUGGGCGUAAAGAGCUCGUAGGCGGUUUGUCGCGUCUGCUGUGAAAACCUAAGGCUCAACCUUGGGCUUGCAGUGGGUACGGGCAGACUAGAGUGCGGUAGGGGGUGACUGGAAUUCAUGGUGUAGCAGUGAAAUGCGCAGAUAUCAGGAGGAACACCGGUGGCGAAGGCGGGUCUCUGGGCCGAUACUGACGCUGAGGAGCGAAAGCGUGGGGAGCGAACAGG